UACUGCGCUGCAAUAUAAUGCAGCAAACAUCAAAGCAUUAGCCUGCACCACACCGUCGCCUGAACUCCUCGCAGCAACACGCACCACCAGCCAUGAAGAAGACGCACUUUAUACUCCUGUUUCUGCUGCUGUCGCCCAGUCACGGCUGCCUCUGGUCUUGUGAACCUCAACCUAACCCUACACCUACACCGGAAUGCCCGAAUCGGAUUUACUCCGAUGGAUGUUUGAAGAUCAUCAGUUCAAAUAGAAAGAAUGACAUACUCGAUGGAACCUUGUAUGUGCAACCGGACUUCCAAGACGCAUUCCAAGACGUCACAUUCAAGGUGGGAGCAAUUUAUGGUGAUUAUUCUUAUCGUACACUGAACGACGUCUUCAAACUGCAUGCUGGGUGCUUCAAGGGAUGGGCUAACUGGUGGCAGGUGCUGGUGAAAGGACAGCUGAUAAAAAGAGGAAAGGAGCUUCAUCUGGUGAUGUGGGCUGGAGAGUGUAGAAGUGAGUGUAUCUUUGUUGAUGAAUUCGUUGACAUUCAGGAGCUCUAUAUCUGUCCCAGUGACGUGAACUGGAAAAUAAAGCACACUCACCAGAUAAACUGCGGCAUCAUGCAGACGACGACGAAGAAAUACUCGAACAACACGAUACCCCUUUGCAUAGAUCGGCCACCCGUGAGGACCACAACCCUUUCCAAAACACCAUUUCCUCCCCCCACCACACCCACGUUCACAACCACUGUCACGCCCAGACGCCACAUGUGCAAAGUGAAAAACACAUCUCCAGCACAAGAGACUCCUAUAGAGAUUAUGGUGCUGACAGGGGCUAUAGUGACAGUCGUGAUAGUGAUGGUGAUGGUGUUGAUGAUGAUGAAGAAGCAUCGAGACUUAAAACAGACAGGCCAGGGAGCAGAGAAGAGCUUCCAUCUCAUAUGAACGUGACUGACACCUGCCUGUGGGAACCUGCCAGACAGGGAUCCUUUAUCAACCUGCAUGAAGACACCCCCCACCUCCAUAAACAGCUGAUUGACUAACUGACUGCUCGCUAAUUAACUGGUUUGGUGAUUGACUGACUGGCUGACUGACUGAUUGGCUGAUUGGCUGACUGGCUGAUUGACUGACUGACUGAUUGACUGACUGGCUGAUUGACUGACUGGCUGAUUGACUGACUGGCUGAUUGACUGACUGGCUGACUGACUAACUGGACCGUUGAUUGGCUGACUGGCUGAUUGACUGACUGGUUGAUUGACUGACUGAUUGACUGACUGGCUGACUAAUUGAUUGGCUGACUGACUGACUGGCUGAUUGACUGACUGACUGACUGACUAACUGACUAACUGACUGACUGGUUGACUAACUGACUGGCUGACUGACUUACUGACUGAUUGACUUACUGAAUGGCUGACUAGCUGACUGACUGACUGGUUGACUGACUGACUAGCUGACUGGUUUACUGACUGACUGAAUGCACCUCAACAUAAUGUACUUUCAUAGAGGAGAAAAAAAAGGACUGGAAAAGAAUCAUAAUUAAAAUAAAAUAAAAGAAAAAAAGUAAAGGAGUGCAUGGAAAGCAAAAUUAUGAAGAAAAGGAGAAAAGGAGAAAUAAAAAAAAAAAAGAAAGAGGAGAAGUAGGUAGAGGAUGGGAGGGAAAGUAGGAGAUCGAGCACAGAUGUAAAGAAAUAAAGGUCACAAGAAGAUGAAAAAGAAGAAGAAGAAGAAGAAGAAGAAGAAGAAGAAGAAGAAGAAGAAGAUGAUGAAGAUGAAGAUGAAGAAGAAGAAGAAGAAGAAGAAGAAGAAGAAGAAGAAGAAGAAGAAGAAGAUGAUGAUGAUGAUGAUGAAGAUGAUGAUGAUGAAGAUGAUGAUGAAGAAGAAGAAGAAGAAGAAGAAGAAGAAGAGAGAUAAGAAAAGGGAGAAGAAAAGGAAGAAGAAAUGGAGGAGGUGGAGGAGGAGGAGGAGGAAGAGAGGAAGGAGGACGGAAUCUUUAGUGUAAUAUUUAAGUUACACAACAUUUUCUUUGGCAGUGAAAAUUCGACUGCUCAUGUGGUCAUAUGAAAAAAAAAAAGAAAAAAGAAAAGAAAAUGUAAGCAGCAAGUGAACACCGUGCAUAUUACCCUUCAGAAAUACACAGAUUCUUCCUCUUCAUGGGAGGCGCUUCGAAAUAGGUCUUGAUUUAAGGAGGAAAAGAAAGAAAAAGAAGUUAAAAAAGAAAGAAACGAGAAAGAACAAAGAGAACAAAUAGAGAAAAACAGAGGAAAAAAGUCUAGAGAAAGAAUCCUUAGAAUGAAGUGAUUUGAUAUAUUUUGCUGUACGCACAUUAUGUAAUAUUUAUGAGUGGUAAUUUUGAAUAAGUGACUGUAAGAGAUAGGGAUAUGUAUUGUGAAACCCUUUACUGUCUCACCACGAGUAUUUUCAAAGGCCGCAGAGACGAUUAGCCGGGUUCUCAAGAGUGUUUCUCAUGUCAUUAGUGCUGAAACCUGACACUAAAACCGUAAAAUCACCCUUAAAAAAAAAAAAAGUAUAAAUUCACUAAGUCAUUUGAAAGUAAUCGGGGCACACAAGCUUUUCAUAAUAUGAUCCUUUUAUCUUUCCAUGGUGUAUGGCGCCACCUCUUUGGUCGCUCCAUCUUGCUAUGGUGACUCUUAUUUUUAAGCACUUAAAAUUCAUAUUAUGCUGUCUUGGAAACUUAUUCAAGUUUAUCUAUUGUAGUUUAUGACUGUAAGAAACUAGAAUAUUUUGAAGUCAUAACUUUGAUGACGAUGCAUUGUUCAUUUAUUUGAACUGAGCAAAGAGAAAACUUUGUAAAAUUCUGUAACCUUAGCUCAAAUAAGAAUAUCAAGAAUUCAGAGUCAAUUGGUUCUCUCGCCAGGAUUAUUUUCAAAGACCACAGACAAGAGAGGUCGGGUUCUCAUGGGUGUUUUCCCACUGAUGGUGCAGACUCUUCCCUGAACUGUCACUAGGAUCGUGAAAACAUUCUUCAGAACCUAAUAUAAUUUAUUUCAUACAGUAUGCUAAAAGUAGUUUGAUGUUGCGACUCAGUAUCACGGAAGCAAAGUAGUGGAUAUCAACUAUAUUGCAAACCUGAAGUAAGUCAUUCAGUCAGGUUGGUGUUUACAUUAGUUAACUUUGGAGUUACCACUCUCUCUCUCUCUCUCUCUCUCUCUCUCUCUCUCUCUCUCUCUCUCUCUCUCUCUCUCUCUCUCUCUCUCUCUAUAUAUAUAUAUAUAUAUAUAUAUAUAUAUAUAUAUAUAAUCAGUUUAUCCUUCAAUCACUUCCUGCUUUCUAUGAGAUAUAGUAACUUAUAGUCUGCAAAUUUUCCACCGAUAUAAUAGGACAAACCAUACAUGGUGAAAAAAUAAACAACUCCAGUAAAAAAAAAAAAAAAAAAAAAAAUAAAAAAAAGGAAAAAAAAAUAAUAAAUAAAAUAACCAUAUUUCUUUCAGUGUGACAAACAAUCCCCUCUUAAUGUAAUCCCAACGAUUAUAAACCAUGUAAAUAAAGUUCCCAACAUGUUCAAACAAUACACACAGUCCAAGGUCACCAAUCUUUAAACUGUACAAAAAAAUUCUUUGAAUCUUUUGAAAUCUGAUAUAUGAGAUAGAGAGAGAGAGAGAGAGAGAGAGAGAGAGAGAGAGAGAGAGAGAGAGAGAGAGAGAGAGAGAGAGAGAGAGA